rnacentral:rRNA from 1 species
CCUACGGGUGGCAGCAGUGGAGGAUAUUGCACAAUGGGGGAAACCCUGAUGCAGCGACGCCGCGUGGGCGAAGAAGUAUUUCGGUAUGUAAAGCCCUAGCAGCAGGGAAGCAGAUAUGACGGUACCUGAGUAAGAAGCACCGGCUAAAUACGUGCCAGCAGCCGCGGUAAUACGUAUGGUGCAAGCGUUAUCCGGAUUUACUGGGUGUAAAGGGAGCGCAGGCGGCACGGCAAGCCUGAUGUGAAAGCCCGCGGCCCAACCGCGGGACUGCAGUGGGAACUACCGGGCUGGAGUGCCGGAGAGGUAGGCGGAAUUACUAGUGUAGCGGUGAAAUGCGUAGAUAUUAGGAGGAACACCAGUGGCGAAGGCGGCUUACUGGACGGUGACUGACGCUGAGGCUCGAAAGCGUGGGGAGCAAACAGGAUUAGAUACCCUGGUAGUC